AUCCUUGUAGCCUUUUUCAAGGAGAAAUGCUGUUUAUAGUAAGGCAGAAGGUAGCACUCAAAACUGGGGGCACCAGCCAAGCCUGCAGCCUUGCAGAGAGCAGGCAGGCUCUCCAGGUUGGCGCAGUGUUCUCUUGCAAUGCUCUGCCAAUGAGAAAAGAGGGAGAUAAGCAAAAGAACGGCAGAGAGGGUCAUUUCCAGUGUUUUUCUGCUCUUUAACCUUGUGCUGUUGCUACGUGUUUCUUCAGAAGAGCAAAUAAGCAGCCUUGCCUGAUGGAUGUGAAGAUAAAGCGUGGCACGGUUAGCUGUUCUAAACAGGUCGCAACUUCGCGGUAAUUCAACAAAAGUCCAAUCAUUGGCCUCCAAAAUGAGUGAAGAUAUUCAUCAAAUCUGAUGAAGUUCCUAUUAAUUAGGGUUGUUAAAUACUGGUAGGGCUUCUGAUACUGUUACGAUUCGGAGGUUUAACUAACAACCCUAAUGGGGCUACUUCUUCAGGAUGUUAAUUAGAUAUGGCAAUUCCACUUACCCAUGCAGCCUCGGCACACAACCAUCACACAUCAAUAUUUAAUUUAAUUACUGAUGUUGUGGUGCAAGUCACAUCUGAUUUAAGAGAUAAAUAUGCUUAAUUAUUAAUGAGAUAAAACACAUACAGUAUGUCACCUUUUGUCAUUUGAGCUUUAUUAGGUAUUGUCAGAAAAGACAAAUGUGAACGUCAGAGAGGCUGUGACAUGGUGCUCUACAUCUCUGUAUGACUCUUGUCCUUCAGCUUACCUGAGCUCACGCUGCACUGCAAAUAAGAUAAGCAGAGCUGCAAGUGUGCAAGGCAACGUGUUGGGCAUCCUCUGCUCAGAGCUUCCCACAAGAUGCCAUUGAGAGCAAUGGACACAACGUGCAAGCACUGUGCGACGAGGUAGAGUUCUGGCAAGGAUGGCAUUGAAGAUGUGGAAUGGAGGCUCAGAAGGCAGAAGAUGUGGUCCUAUGUGAGCUCCCUUCCAGGAUCCCUUCCAGCCUCAGCCCCGCAGUGCUUCUGCUCACCGAGAGGCAGCUCAGCUCUGCGACGCUUUUAUUCCAUCACAGUAUGUUAAAUGCCCAGAUGGUUCCUGCUGACAGUGGUGCUGCUGGUAGGUUACUGCUGCCCAUCCAUUCUCCAGGCACUGCACACUUGGGGCCAUUGGGAACAACAAGGCUGUGAGACCACCAGGUCCUUCUGCUGCCAUCACCAUCGCACCUCUCCUGCUCACACUGCACCUGGUUUCCUUGUAAGCGCAUCCUGAAAUUGAGUUUUCCAGCUCCUCCCUGCAGGAUUCUGCUUUAUGCCAGUUCUUUAUGCUAUGACUAUUUUUUCUGUGUCUGGUGUAAACUUCUCCUUCCUUAGCUUCAGGUCAGUGCUUCUCAUCUGGUGUCUGCUGUCCCUCCCUCUCCUCACCCAGCUGCUCGUUCACAUUAACUGCACGAUAAUUAGAGACUGAUCCUGUCCCCUGAGCCUUUGCUUCCCCAGACUGUGUCUCCAAUCCUGCCCUCCCGCAGCAAACCCCACUGAGAUCCGCAGGUUUGGCACAUGUCCAUUUGGGGCUGCUCCUGCUUUUCUAUCUAGUUCUCAGCACACAGGUCUUUGAUAUUAUAAUGCAGGAAUGGCAGGAGACCCUGGUUAAGCAAAAACAGAACCGGCCCUCCCUCCCUUCCUCCCUCUGGGGGUUACGGGUUAUUAACAGCUUUCUUUGCUCAGCUGAGCACCACGGAGCUGCCAGGUCUCUGCCUGCAUUCCUGUCUCACAGCUUCAGAAUUCUCACCCUAUUAAAAAAGGCAGAAACGAGGCAGCUCCUGCAGCUCCCCGUCCUGCUGUGGUCGCUGAUCUGAAAGCAGUGGUUUGUGACAUCCCACUGCCCACCUCUGCUGGGUGCCCGUGGGUCAGCUCUGCUGAGGAAUAGAAACGAGUUCUGUCUUUGGCACCAUCAGUGUCUUGAACGAAGGGGUCGUUUGGGCUCGUUAGGCUCAGCUUAUUUGUAAGAAGCCCCUGUUCCUUGACUGCUGUUAGGCCUGAUUCUCAUGGGCUUCAAGCUCAUUACUCCUCUGUGCUAUCUGCUUCAAUGGUUCAUAGUUGCAGGCUUCUCCCUUUCCUGGUCAUCCCAAUGAGUAGUAAAGUUGCUUCCUGUGCUCGCUGCCCCCCCCCACUAUGCCAUCCUCUCUGGCUGCUUUUCUGGUCCCACAGACAGAAAGAACAGCUCUGGGACACUCCUCAACCCCACAGUGGGGACACAAAGCAGUGGCAGAGCCAGGUAAAGGGCUUGAUGCUUUCCAACCAGCUCUUGUUGGUUUGGGAUCUUUCCAUUUGAAGGCUUCUGGCACGUGAAGAGCCCUCCCCUGAGUUUUUCAUUCCCUUUCAAGCUGCUGCAAUAAACCCACGAGCCUCUCUUUCA
ensembl:lncRNA